AUUCUUUCGCAGUAUCUUAGCUUAUGAGGUCUAUCCGAGGCAAGAUUUUUGCUAGUUGAAAACUUUACCCAGUUCCCGUCUAUAUGAUUUGAAAUAUAAAAUAACCAGUCCCUGUGGAGA
ensembl:snRNA U4 U4 spliceosomal RNA